AGGACAAAGUGGCCAUGGAGAGCAUCCCUCUGCUGGGUUUUACUAUUGCCCCAGAAAAGGAGGAGGGCAGCAGUGAAGUGGGCCCUGUUUUUCAUCUUUAUCACAAGAAAACCCUGUUUUACAGCUUCAAAGCAGAGGACAGCAGUUCUGCUCAGAGGUGGAUGGAGGCCAUGGAAGAUGCCAGUGUGUUAUAGCAGUCACCAGGCACAUGGACUCACAACAAACUCCUACAUUAACACGUGAACCCUUCCAGAAGCUACUCCUGAUCUCAGCUUAUCUGGAUGCAUGUGUGGGUUCUGUGUGGGGCUUGACCUCUCUCCUCAAGGUGGAACCCCAAAAGAUAUUUAUAGACCUCUUUUCUGCCUCCAUGUUCCCCAGCCCCAAUCACAGACUGUACUCUUAUCUAAAAGUGAGUUAAAAUUUAGUACCUUGAAGACAUGGAAACCAAGAGAAAAAGACAUUUAGCAACAUGGGCUUUUUAGUAGAAACUGGCUUUUUCUGGUUUUACUCCUGGUGAAUAGGACCACUUUCAACUUUUCCGCAAUCUCAAAAUGGUGCCUCAGGUGAUGUGGGAACCAGACAGAACGUAUCAGCUGUGCAUCUAAGCACUUUACCAUCCGGCUGAGUUGUAGCCUCCAGGGCUGUGUCUUCCAAAGGAUGGACAGGAGGCAGCUGCAAACGGGGCUAGGGAUUCACUUGCAGUGGAAAGUGACUCCUGCAGCCUUAUUGUCACCCUAAGGAGGGAGGGGAUCGUCUUCCCCUCCUAAGAUCCUACU
rnacentral:lncRNA from 1 species